CUCUCUCCCCACCUCCCCUCUUCGGGGUGCCCUAUUUAGUUGAGGUGGUCCCCUCGUCUAUGUGGUAGGGCCUCCCUUGUCUUUUGUGUGUUUGUCGAGCCGUCUAGUGUCGGUGAACCCCUGUCGUCGGGGGUAGACCUGCCCCUGUGUGGCUGUCAUCCCCUCUCCUCUCUGGGUUUGUAGCCUCCGGCCGCUAGCUAUGUGGUGGUAGUUAUGUCAUGUCAAUAAAUUCGGGGUCUGUUGUCUUCAGGAUCCAAUGUGUCCAAGUGUUCAGGUACACUUGAAAUGUAUCGUGAGCUUUGUGGUGAAGUUCCUCUAGAGAUCUCAGUUCUUCCAUUUGCGUAAACCAUAC